rnacentral:rRNA from 1 species
CAGUAGUCAUAUGCUUGUCUCAAAGAUUAAGCCAUGCAUGUCUAAGCACAGACCUUUACACGGUGAAGCUGCGAAUGGCUCAUUAGGCCACCCAUGAUUUAUUAGAUUGUCGACUCCUACUUGGAUAACUGUGGUAAUUCUAGAGCUAAUACAUGCCGCUAAGCUCCGACGCCCGGCUCUCGGGUCGCGGCGAAAGAGCGCGUUUAUUAGAUCAAAACCAAUCGGGGUUUCGGCCCCGUACACUUGGUGACUCUGGAUAACUUCGAGCUGAUCGCAUGGCCUCGCGCCGGCGACAUAUCUUUCAAGUGUGUGCCCUAUCAACUGUCGAUGGUAAGUGAUAUGCUUACCAUGGUGGUAACGGGUAACGGGGAAUCAGGGUUCGAUUCCG